rnacentral:misc_RNA from 1 species
UUUCCGUAGGUGAACCUGCGGAAGGAUCAUUAAAGAAUCGGUGACCCUCGCGGUCCCAUUCUAACCCUUUGUAUACCAAACAUCAGUUGCUUUGGCUGGCCCUCGGGCCGGCCAGAGGAAAUAAACCCUUGAAUCUUUGCUGUCUGAGUACUAUAUAAUAGUUAAAACUUUCAACAACGGAUCUCUUGGUUCUGGCAUCGAUGAAGAACGCAGC